UACGUAGGGUGCAAGCGUUAAUCGGAAUUACUGGGCGUAAAGCGUGCGCAGGCGGUGAUGUAAGACAGGUGUGAAAUCCCCGGGCUUAACCUGGGAACUGCAUUUGUGACUGCAUCGCUGGAGUGCGGCAGAGGGGGAUGGAAUUCCGCGUGUAGCAGUGAAAAUGCGUAGAUAUGCGGAGGAACACCGGUGGCGAAGGCGGCCUGCUG
rnacentral:rRNA from 1 species